UUGAUUACGUAUUGUGAAAGUGAGGUUAAUAAUUGUAUUCAGUAAAAUAAUAUUCUUUUAUAACAUUAGUAUUAGACUUACACAUUCAUAAGGUUAAUUAUAUAGAUUAAAAAUAAUUUUUUUCAACAAAUGAUUGAAUAAACGUAUCUUUCUUCUAUAUCAUGGAAUUUACGUCGAUUUGAUCUACGCUACCUCGUAGAAAAAGGUUAUGUGAUGUUAUUCUAUUAAAAGAAGGAGUUAAAGGAAUGUUUGAAUAAAUAAGAAAAUAAAGGAUAUCGAUACAACAGAAUACUUAUUCUGUUAUUUCAGAAGUUGCGAGUAAAGUUUGGAUUGAAAGUUCAUUCAGUACAUCAGCAAUUAAAACUUCUAUGUCUUCAAGUUUUUCAGGAACGAUACUUUGUGAAAUCUGAUGAAGUAUAUUCAAAUAAGACAGUGUAAGGCAUAAAGAUAUUUAUAGACUUGAUCUGUUUAUUUAUAAUGUGCGAUAAAAUAUUUCUCUCGGAAAUACUUUCGUGGAUUAGGCUCGGCUUACAUUUUUAGCUAAACUUUAACACAGUUUAGUUAGUCUCAACUUAGCAUUCGCUUGAAACAAUCUUGGACAGUGAAUGUAGCAAUUGAAAAGUUUUUGAACCUUAUAAAUAUGGAUUAAGAUCAGAUCAGUUCAAGUUCGGACGAAUUCAAUUUUGAUGCUUUUUCUACGAACUAUCUGCAAAUUCAAUAUGGCGAAGCUGGCGUGAUAUGAACAACGCAGAAUUCCGGACAUUUAUUGCUGUUAUAAUCAAUAUGGGUACAAUGCCGUUGGCCAAUUUGCAAGAAUAUUGAUCGAGGAAUAUCAUCGGUUAUAUUCCUUUCUAUUCGGAUACAUUUACAAGAGACAAAUUUAGUCAAAUAUUCUGGUUGCUUUAUGCUGAAAACUAUUUCAACACGCAAACACGAAUUCGAGAAUGUGCCUACAACGAGUAAGUUGCUUUUUGGACUAUAUCAAGUCAAAGUUUUUGGAUUAUUUUAAUAUCCGGACGAGCAUAUAUGUGUGCUCGAGUCAACGAUAAAAUUCAAGGGUCGAAUUUCGUUCAUAAUAUACAAUCCUAAGAAACUGACAAAAUGGGAUAUCAGAGUUUUAUAUUCUAGCAGACUCGAAGACUGAUUAUAUUUGCUGCAUUUUGCUAUAUUAUGGAUCACUCAUAACAGAGCUUUUGGUCAUACCCCAUUUACCUGUUUCAUCCAAGAAUUCCGAUACACUUGUACAAAAUAUUGUUUGAGAAAAUUCCAGAUGUUCAGGGGCACCAUAUGUACACGCAUCGUUACUAUACUAGUUACUAUGUCUUAGCUCAAGAACUAGCCAAAUUGAAAUGCAAUAUCACCGGGACGAUUUUAACGAACAGGAAAGAAUUGCCCAAGGAAAUAAAAAAGCCAAAUUUUUCGAAAAAAAAUCCACAAUCGCGUAUCGACGAGGCAACACUUUACUUUUAGGGUGGAAAGAUAAAAGGAUUACACGAGGUGGUGUGGAAAUAAUGGCCAAGAAAUCCAAUAUUGUAUUAAAUUAUACAAAAUAUAAGGUUGGGAAAAAAGAAAUCCAUUAUUUUUGCGUGAACUUCAAGAGUUUAUUUAACCCUUUGAAUGUUAUGGGCGCACAUAUGCGUCCAGCGAAAGCUAUCGAUAUAGACUAUGAACGCAAAUACUCGCUGGGCAGAUGCUAUCAGUAUGGACUAUGGACGCAAAUACGCGCCUGGCAAAAAUGUUCAGUGUACUAUGGUCAAAUGUAUAUAAUCGGGAAUUGUUUCUAUUGCGCAAAAAAGUAUUUAGUCUCCGGCGAUCGUCAGCGUCAGCCGCGGACAGCAUAGGCCACGAGUAUUCAGCACUCAAAGGAUUAACAUGUUUCGGAUUGUCCAAUUUGGGUCAAAUAUGCACCAUUUUGUUCUAUAAUUUGUUGUCAUUUUAAAGGUAGCUUUAUAAUGCCUCUCUCAUAAAAGUCUUGGUCCUUAUUGGCGAAAAACUCUAGUAAUCGAUUUUUACGAUCUUCUCUUGAUGCCAAUUUCUUAUCACUCAGGAAGUUUUGCAAUGCGAGAAAAAGAUGAUAAUCGCUUGGUGCCAGGUCCGGACUAUAUGGUGGAUGCAUUAAAACUUCCCAACCAAGCUCCCGGAAUUUUUGAUGAGUCACUACAAACAUAUAUAGCUUGGCGUUGUCCUUAUGGAACAUAACACCUCUUCUGUUGGCCAAUUCUGGCCGUUUCUGGUCAAUCGCUAGCUUCAAAUGAUCCAGUUGUUGACGGUAGAAAUCCGAAUUUAGUGUUUGGCCAUAUGGAAGCAACUCAUAAUAAAUGAUUCCUUUCCAAUCUCACCAAAUGCACAGCAAAACCUUUCUGGUCGUUAGUCUUGAUUUGGCCACCGUUUGAGCUGCUUCACCGCGCUUUGACCUCGAUCGUUUUUGCUCAAUAUUGUCGUAUGUGAUCCAUUUCUCAUCCCCAGUUACCAUCCGUUUAAGAAAUGGAUCGAUUUCAUUCAGUUUGGCCAAAGUUUCGUAAAUGGAAAUUUGAUCCAUCAUGUUUUUUGAUGUUAAUUGGUGUAGCACCCAAACAUCGAGCUUCUUUUUGAAUUAAGCUUUGUGCAAAUGGUUUAAAACUGUUUUAUGAUCGAUCUUUAGCUCCUGGACGAUGCUACGAUUAAUAACAUGCCAGCCAACUUCGAUUAUUUCUAUGAUUUUAUCGACAUUUUCGACCUGCCUGUGCGAGGUGCGUCUUUAACAUCAAAAAUACCUGAACGGAAUCGACGAAACCAAAAUUGCACGUAAUUAGCUGUUACAAUAUCGGGACCAUAAACACCAUUCACAAUUUCAGUCGCCUGGCUUGCAUUUUUGCCUUUAUCAAAGAAAAAUUGUAAAGUGUAUCGAAUUUUCUCUUUGUUGACUUCCAUUUUUAACACCCUGUAACUCACAACUGAAUGGACCAAGCAAAAAACAGCAAAAGAAUUUUUUUAGUCAUCUUGAAAUGUCAUCUUGAUAACGAGCAUAAAUCUGAAAUUGUUUGAUCGAUACUUUACGAGAUAUAUCGAUCGCUACAGACAUCUACCAAAAAAAUAAAUGGUUUUCUUUUUCCCCAAUAUAAUAAUCGCGAUGAUUGAAUAAGUAUUACUGAUUGUAAAAUUGCAAAAUCGUACUCGAGAAAGCUUGUUUUUUUUCCCCUGUAUUUAUUAUCUUUAUUAAUUUUAAAUCUUUAUCAAUUGUUUUAAUAAAUUCUUGGUUAAAGAAUAAUUCAAAAAUAGAACCUGGGCAACUUUUUUUCUGUUAAAUCAGACUGCUACUACACUCCGUCAUCAUCAUCAUCCGUAUAAAUUAUAAUAAAUGAUUCAAAAUGUACUCUUGCUGUUGGUAUUUUUUAUUGUCUUGAUAUUAUAAGUUUAUUGAGUCAUUCUAUUAACGACUUGUCAUCAUCAUUAAACUGUACGUCGCUGUCACUAUUAUUGAUUUCAUUAUCACUAAUAAUUCGAUUCCAUCGGAAUUGUCGAGGGGUGAUUAUUGCACUCAAGGAAAUCCAAGUGAAAACUGACGAAACAUAUGCGAGAAUCGUCGAAUGAAAGGACCUUGUAAAGUGGUACGCUAAAUAUCUCGUCCAAAGUGUAUGUGCUAAAUAACAUCGCAUAACGAGUCCCGAGAUAUUUUGUCUGUGGUUAUAAAAUGAUUUAUACGAGAUUUAUCUAAAAUCAUAAAAUAAAUUAAUCAGUUUCAAUCUAAUUGGCGUUACAGGCAAUUCCUAAACGCUCCGAGCGUUUCUCGAAUACUACCUACCAACAACUCAGGCACAACAUUUUUGCAGCGGAAUGCCUAAGAUAAAGGAAGUCUUAUAUUGAGCGGAAAAGAUCACACGUCCUUGUGAAUGCAUUUGAUUUUAUUUAUUUUAUAAAUAUGCAUUUUCCUAUUGUAAAUAAAAGAUAAAUUUUAAAUUUUGUAAUUCA